rnacentral:pre_miRNA from 1 species
AGGAGGAUCAGCCCCAGGGGCGGGGCAGCUCUGGAAACCUGGAUUCAGCUCCGGCAGGAACUCCGUCUGCAGGGCCUGGAGGCUCCGGGCGGGG